rnacentral:misc_RNA from 1 species
GGAAGUAAAAGUCGUAGCAAGGUCUCCGUUGGUGAACCAGCGGAGGGAUCAUUACAGGACUCGCAAGACUCCUACAACCCUGUGAACUUAACUAUAAGCACGUUGCUUCGGCGGGUGUCUCGGAGGGGGUUCUCCCUCCCCGAGACGCUAAACCCGCCGGCAGCCUACUAUACUCUGUCUCUUUGCGUUGGCAUCUCGAGUACAAUCAAACAAGUUAAAACUUUCAACAACGGAACUCUUGGUUCUG